rnacentral:misc_RNA from 1 species
GAAGUUUAAAAGUAUAAGAGUAUUUUGUUUAAAAAAAUAAUUAAAUAAGGUUAGAAAUUAGUAAUAUAGUGAAUAAAGGAUUAGUGUUUUUAAUGUGUAAAAAUUUUUAAUAUGGAAAAUUGAUAUAGAAUAAUUUUAAAUAAAUUUAUGUAUGUUAAUAAGUAUUUUAAAAUGAUUAGUAUUAUGUUAAUUUUGUUUUAUUU